GAUCACAAAGCAUUACAGAGAGGAGUACAAGUACAGCUGGUUGCUGCGCAUACAGACUAAAGGCAGAAAUUCUAGUGAUCAGUCUAGAUCAGUACAAACUAUAAAAUGAAUGAGGAUAUUUAUGCUAAUGCAGAUAUAAUUGAAAUACAUACAAAAUGCACAUCCAGCCAAGGAGAACAGACUCCAAAGCGAACUCAACAUUCAGGAUCUGAUCCCACAGGGAGACGAUGCUACCGACUGGCUAUAGUGUUUCUUGGGAUAUUGUGUUUUCUCCUGCUGACGGCUGUCAUAGUGCAGUCUGCUUAUAAUAACAGACUCCUAGGGGAAGCUAAGAGGAACAAAGCUGAAAUGGCUCAGAUAUUUUCAUAUCUCACCUCCAAUUACAGUGAGAAUCUGCGGCUGCAAACCAGCUACAGCACCUGCACUGCAGAGAAAGAACAGCUACAAAGCAGUUACAGCACCUGCACUGCAGAGAAAGAACAGCUACAAAGCAGUUACAGCACCUGCACUGCAGAGAAAGAACAGCUACAAAGCAGUUACAGCACCUGU